rnacentral:SRP_RNA from 1 species
UCCAGGCAUGGUCAUGAAAACCUGUAAUCCCUGCUACCAAGGAGGCUGAGGCUGAAGGAUCUCUUGAACUCAGGAAUUCUGAGCUACAGUGAGCUAAGACAAUCACUAAGGUUGGGCAUCAAUAUGGCCAGCCCCCAAGAGUAAGAGGUAGAGAGACAUUCUAGGUUGCCAAAAGAAGGGCAAACUGUCCCAGGUCAGAAGCAGAGCAUGUCAGAGCUCCCAUGCUAACCAGUAGUGGGAUCAGGUUCACGAGUAGCCUCUGCACUACCAGCCUGGGUGAGAUAGCCAAAUCCAGUCUAU